GGAAGUAAAAGUCGUAACAAGGUCUUCGUAGGUGAACCUGCGGAGGGAUCAUUACCGAGUUAGGGUCCUCAUCGGGCCCGACCUCCCAACCCAUUGUUUAUGAUACCUAGUGUUGCUUCGGUAGGCCUGGUCUAUCUGUUAUAGACCUGCCGGGGGGCCGUAAGACGCCCGCCGGAGAGUGCCUACCGACAGCCUCAACUCCAAAAUUCUUUAACCAAACGUGUCUUUGUCUGAGUAACGUCUUUUAAAAUAAAGCAAAACUUUCAACAACGGAUCUCUUGGUUCUGGCAUCGAUGAAGAACGCAGCGAAAUGCGAUAAGUAAUGCGAAUUGCAGAAUUCUCGUGAGUCAUCGAAUCUUUGAACGCACAUUGCGCCCUUUGGUAUUCCGAAGGGCAUGCCUGUUCGAGCGUCAUUUUCACCCCUCAAGCCCCCGGCUUGGUGUUGGACGGUCUGGUCCGGGGACCUCAAACCCCCUGGACCCCUCCCAAAGACAAUGACGGCGGGCUGUUGAACCCCCGGUACACUGAGCAUCUUCACGGAGCACGUACCGGUCUCAAGGGUCGACGGCACCCGGUCUAUACCUAUAUUUUUCAAGGUUGACCUCGGAUCAGGUAGGAAUACCCGCUGAACUUAAGCAUAUCAAUAAGCGGAGGA
rnacentral:rRNA from 1 species